UACAGAGGGGGCCAGCGUUAUUCGGAAUUAUUGGGCGUAAAGGGCGCGUAGGCGGCUUUGCGUGUCUUUCGUGAAAUCCCUCGGCUCAACUGAGGACGUGCGGAAGAAACUGCAGGGCUGGAGUCCGGGAGAGGAGGGUGGAAUUCCCAGUGUAGCGGUGAAAUGCGUAGAUAUUGGGAGGAACACCGGUGGCGAAGGCGGCCCUCUGGACCGGUACUGACGCUGAUGCGCGAAAGCGUGGGGAGCAAACGGG
rnacentral:rRNA from 1 species